rnacentral:rRNA from 1 species
CAGCAGCCGCGGGAAAACGUAGGUGGCAAGCGUUGUCCGGAAUUAUUGGGCGUAAAGGGCUCGCAGGCGGUUUCUUAAGUCUGAUGUGAAAGCCCCCGGCUCAACCGGGGAGGGUCAUUGGAAACUGGGAAACUUGAGUGCAGAAGAGGAGAGUGGAAUUCCACGUGUAGCGGGGAAAUGCGUAGAGAUGUGGAGGAACACCAGUGGCGAAGGCGACUCUCUGGUCUGUAACUGACGCUGAGGAGCGAAAGCGUGGGGAGCGAACAGGAUUAGAUACCCUGUAGUCCCUGUCUCUUAUACA